AGCGAACGCUGGCGGCAGGCUUAACACAUGCAAGUCGAACGGGCACUUCGGUGUCAGUGGCAGACGGGUGAGUAACGCGUGGGAACAUACCUCUUGGUUCGGAACAACACAGGGAAACUUGUGCUAAUACCGGAUAAGCCCUUACGGGGAAGAUUAUCGCCGAGAGAUUGGCCCGCGUCUGAUUAGCUAGUUGGUGUGGUAAAAGACGCACCAAGGCUACGAUGUCUAGGGGA
rnacentral:rRNA from 1 species